rnacentral:lncRNA from 1 species
AGACUGGAAACGUCCAAACUGCUUAUUGCUAGCGGGUCAUCUGGGAGCCGUGGAAUUGGGAUUCCCACUCUCGGAACUCUGCUUGCUUCCAGCCCCUGUGCCGACAGACGGCAGCCAGAGAAGCCCACGGAGGGCCCCAGGGAGCCCCAGCUGUGCCCAGCCUGCGCCCAAGCCUCAGGCCUGGCUGAAGUCACGGAGCCUCGGGAGGAAACCGCCUUUUUCCUGUGGGAACGUGGCCUCAAGGCAGGCCCCCCCCAAGCCCUCCGGCCCCCGAGGGCCGUCCCCGCACUGGCCUCUCGGGACACUGAGACGGUGUUUCCCUCCGCCCCCGGCACUGGGUCUCAAUCCCGAUUUCUGCAUUUUCACCUGCCGAUGGGACCUGCGCUUUUGCUUGGCUGCCCUACACUCGUGACCACGGCAGUGCCUCGUCUCGUGCCGGUCGGCCGGUCAGUCACCCCAUGCCCUUCCUCGUAUUUUGGACUCUGUGCCCUCAGGACCCAGAGCUCUCUCCGCAGCAGGAGCCACUCAGGUCACCUGCAGGGAAAAGAGCCAGCUGGACAUUAGCUAGUCCCUGAAGUGCCUGUUUAACCUGCACUCUGGGUCCAAAACUCGAGGCCGGACUGUCCUGGGCCGGGCAUGGACCGCCAGAGGGUCCCAGCCUUCCUGAGGUUCUCCCGGCUCCGCCCCAGCAAGACGCGACGACAAGACGCGACGACACCUGCGCUGAAGGGGCCCCGGGGGUGUUUGUUCCUUUGUCCGUUCCCCACCCCCCUCCAGUUCACUGAGUCAACCCACCCCCGCUGCACGUCAGCUCCACCUCCCCUCCCCCCAACCCCCCUCCCCGCAACCUGCCUCUCCCACGUCCGCAUGUACGGGAAGGCUACUCGCAGCCCCCCAGGGCCCCUGUGGCCUGUGUCCCCCACUUCUCACCCCCUCACCCCUUUUUCCUUCUUACUUCCACGGCCCAUGACAUAGGGCAGGAACCAACCUCAUCUUUCCCGAGACGACCGACCGUUUGGAACUGGGGUCUUUGAAGACGGACUAAGGUAAACGCGUCCUCAGGGUGGGCCGUGCCUAGAACGACAGGGAGAGGGCCCACUCGAGGACCCGGAGCACCGUCGACGCACCCAGGAGAGGCCUGGGGGACCGCCUGCCCGCACCCGGCUUUUCCAGGCCGCGGGGCUCAGCUUCCCUGUUCAUGCCACCUGCUCUGCGGCGUUUGUCAUGCUGCCCAGAGCGGCCAUUGCAGGGCGGGCGGGUGGACCCGGGGGGACACGGGCUUCUUGCUCGGGUGGAUUUCCAUCAGCUUUUUCCUCACGUCCCCCUCACCGUCGUCCAGGAGGGUGGCGCCCAGGGGGCAGCGCAGACGCGGGUCUGUGUCCACCUUCACCACACACAGAGGCGAGUCCAACCCUCGGGGCCCCGGGGCUUCAGCCGAGAAACGGAGACGACGGGGUCACCUUCGGGCAUCGAGACCCAAGGAGGACAGGGCCACCGCCGGGUGACCACACUCAGGUCCGCCCAGAUGGUCUUGGCACCGCCUGUUUGCUGCUGCUGAGCCAGAAACCAUGCAUCUGACACGCACCUCGGCCUCCAGGGUCCCUGCGAUGAGAUUGUGGCCACCGCACGCAGCCUGGUCUGAACGGGGACAGCAAACCAUGCCCAGGCUCAGGGCAGACGCUGGCUCGGUGCUCCUGUCACAGGGAAGCGGGAGCCCGCUCUAGGUGUGCGGACUUGGUCAUGGGAGGACUGCGUCUCUUCCUGCCGCCCUGGAGGGCAGGCUCGGGGGCCGCCCGCCAGGCCACGAACUCAGGGCGCUCCCACUAACGCAACGGGAAGGCAGGAUCUUGCUGAGGCAGAGACACUGGGUCCAGAGGCCCCUCGGCGGCACCAGGCGGAUCGAAGG